ensembl:snRNA U4 U4 spliceosomal RNA
AGCUUUGCGCAGUGGCAGUAUCAUAGCCAAUUAGGUUUAUCUGAGGUGCGAUUAUUGCUAAUUGAAAACUUUUCCCAAUAUCCUGCAUUGAUGAAUUGAAAUAUAGUCGCCAUUGGCAAUUUUUGACAGUCUCUACGGAGA